rnacentral:rRNA from 1 species
UACGUAGGGGGCAAGCGUUGUCCGGAUUUACUGGGCGUAAAGAGCGUGUAGGCGGCCAAGCAGGUCCGUUGUGAAAACUGGAGGCUUAACCUCCAGACGUCGACGGAAACCGCGUGGCUAGAGUCCGGAAGAGGAGAGUGGAAUUCCUGGUGUAGCGGUGAAAUGCGCAGAUAUCAGGAGGAACACCUGAGGCGAAAGCGGCUCUCUGGACCACAACUGACGCUGAGGCGCGAAAGCUAGGGGAGCAAACAGG